UCGUUAAAAUGUUUGUGUUUAUGUCGCCAUUUGCAUACUCAUAUCACAGCCAUUUUGACGAGUU
rnacentral:pre_miRNA from 1 species